rnacentral:tRNA from 1 species
GCUGUUAUAGCUCAGUGGUAGAGCACUUCCUUGGUAAGGAAGAGGUCCCGAGUUCAAAUCUCGGUAACAGCU